AUUGAACGCUGGCGGCAUGCCUUACACAUGCAAGUCGAACGGUAACAGGUCUUCGGAUGCUGACGAGUGGCGAACGGGUGAGUAAUACAUCGGAACGUGCCCGAUCGUGGGGGAUAACGGAGCGAAAGCUUUGCUAAUACCGCAUACGAUCUACGGAUGAAAGCAGGGGACCGCAAGGCCUUGCGCGGACGGAGCGGCCGAUGGCAGAUUAGGUAGUUGGUGGGAUAAAAGCUUACCAAGCCGACGAUCUGUAGCUGGUCUGAGAGGACGACCAGCCGCACUGGGACUGAGACACGGCCCAGACUCCUACGGGAGGCAGCAGUGGGGAAUUUUGGACAAUGGGCGAAAGCCUGAUCCAGCCAUGCCGCGUGCAGGAUGAAGGCCUUCGGGUUGUAAACUGCUUUUGUACGGAACGAAAAGACUCUUUCUAAUAAAGAGGGUCCAUGACGGUACCGUAAGAAUAAGCACCGGCUAACUACGUG
rnacentral:rRNA from 1 species